UUCGGAGUUACGCUUACCGUCUGUGCGCCGCGGACUGCAGUGCGAGGAGGACGCGGCGCGUCGUUGCGUUCGCAUUCCACGAACUCCCCAAGACCACCAGACCUCCAACACACCUCAGACAGGGGCUCUGAUCAUCGGCACUACAUCCAUAGGUGGCUCAAUCAGUCUAUCCAUGUCCCACAUGUGUGCUUUUCCAUAAAUUUAUGCGCUAGCGGAGAGAGAAGACCUCUCCAAUCACACCGACGGAUCCAAAUGUCUCCAGAUAAACGCGCAGUGAAGGUCAAUAACAGCGCAUGACGGGUUCUCAGUAUCCUCGCACACACAUAAUCACUCCUUUCCGACAGGUUUCCAUGGUUUGGACCGGCGCCCGUCUACCCAACAUCCCGACGCAUGUUUAUAUCCAGGGAAAGUGACUCUCCACACGCACGUCCGUCAUCCGCGACCCAAGGUAACUGAAGUCGAUCGAUCCGGUUCGGUUGGAGAGGAAGAGUAUUUACGAACAAAUAAAAGAAACAUAGAAACUAAAUAGGCUACACGAGCAGUUCUCUGAGCGCAAUGGAGAUGGAGACGCACUCAUGUCUCUCCCUCUAUCUUUUCAGACAGACUCUUCAAUUUGAGACAAAGUGAGUGAAAGAGUUUCAGGAGGGUGCGGAAUGUCUCGGAGAGGUUUUACCAGGAGAGAGAGAAACAUGCAGCCUAUCAGCAAUAUAUGGCAACACUGCGGAUCGCCGGCACCUAAACUGACCGUAUCAAAAAGGCCCUUGGAUACAACAUUCGAAUCGUCCUGUAUUUUCUGACACAGGCCUGAUUUCAUGG
ensembl:lncRNA